rnacentral:rRNA from 1 species
GAAAGGACCUAAAAAAUUAAUUUUAUU